rnacentral:rRNA from 1 species
GAUGAACGCUGGCGGCAUGCCUAAGACAUGCAAGUCGAACGAGGAGACCUUUGGAAGAUGGAGUGCUUGCACAAAGUUAGAAGAAGAUUAUCUCCUAGUGGCAGACGGGUGAGUAACACGUGGGUAACCUACCUUUAAGCUGGGGAUAACAGUUGGAAACGAUUGCUAAUACCGAAUGUGAUCUACGGAUUAAAGAAGCCUUUAAAGCUUCGCUUGAAGAUGGGCCUGCGGUGCAUUAGCAGUUGGUGAGGUAAACGGCCCACCAAAGGCGACGAUUGCAUAGCCGAACUGAGAGGUUAAAUCGGCCACAUUGGGACUGAGACACGG